GAUGAACGCUGGCGGCGUGCCUAAUACAUGCAAGUCGAGCGAACGGACGAGAAGCUUGCUUUUCUGAUGUUAGCGGCGGACGGGUGAGUAACACGUGGAUAACCUACCUAUAAGACUGGGAUAACUUCGGGAAACCGGAGCUAAUACCGGAUAAUAUUUUGAACCGCAUGGUUCAAAAGUGAAAGACGGUCUUGCUGUCACUUAUAGAUGGAUCCGCGCUGCAUUAGCUAGUUGGUAAGGUAACGGCUUACCAAGGCAACGAUGCAUAGCCGACCUGAGAGGGUGGUCGGCCACACUGGAACUGAGACACGGUCAAGACUCCUACGGGAGGCAGCGGUAGGGAAUCUUCCGCAAUGGGCGAAAGCCUGACGGAGCAACGCCGCGUGAGUGAUGAAGGUCUUCGGAUCGUAAAACUCUGUUAUUAGGGAAGAACAUAUGUGUAAGUAACUGUGCACAUCUUGACGGUACCUAAUCAGAAAGCCACGGCUAACUACGUG
rnacentral:rRNA from 1 species